rnacentral:rRNA from 1 species
UACGUAGGGGGCUAGCGUUAUCCGGAUUUACUGGGCGUAAAGGGUGCGUAGGCGGUCUUUCAAGUCAGGAGUGAAAGGCUACGGCUCAACCGUAGUAAGCUCUUGAAACUGUAAGACUUGAGUGCAGGAGAGGAGAGUGGAAUUCCUAGUGUAGCGGUGAAAUGCGUAGAGAUUAGGAAGAACACCAGUGGCGAAGGCGAUUCUCUGGACUGUAACUGACGCUGAGGCUCGAAAGCGUGGGGAGCAAACAGGAUUAGAUACCCCCGUAGUCCCU